rnacentral:tRNA from 1 species
GCCCGGGUGGCUCAGUGGUUGAGCGUCUGCCUUCGGCUCAGGGUGUGAUCCCAGAAUCUGGGAUCAAGUCCCACAUCGGGCU